rnacentral:rRNA from 1 species
UAGGGAAUCUUCCGCAAUGGACGCAAGUCUGACGGAGCAACGCCGCGUGAGUGAAGAAGGAUUUCGGUUCGUAAAACUCUGUUGUUAGAGAAGAACAGCGCAUAGAGUAACUGUUAUGCGUGUGACGGUAUCUAACCAGAAAGCCACGGCUAACUACGUGCCAGCAGCCGCGGUAAUACGUAGGUGGCAAGCGUUGUCCGGAUUUAUUGGGCGUAAAGCGAGCGCAGGCGGUCAAUUAAGUCUGAUGUGAAAGCCCCCGGCUCAACCGGGGAGGGUCAUUGGAUACUGGUUGACUUGAGUGCAGAAGAGGGGAGUGGAAUUCCAUGUGUAGCGGUGAAAUGCGUAGAUAUAUGGAGGAAGACCGGUGGCGAAAGCGGCUCUCUGGUCUGUAACUGACGCUGAGGCUCGAAAGCGUGGGGAGCGAACAGG